GGGCUAUCAUGCAGUCGACGAACUUUCUUACACCGAAUGCUUGCAUUCACCGUAAGAAGUUGAGUGGCGGACGGGUGAGUAACACGUGGGUAACCUGCCUAAAAGAAGGGGAUAACACUUGGAAACAGGUGCUAAUACCGUAUAUCUCUAAGGAUCGCAUGAUCCUUAGAUGAAAGAUGGUUCUGCUAUCGCUUUUAGAUGGACCCGCGGCGUAUUAACUAGUUGGUGGGGUAACGGCCUACCAAGGUGAUGAUACGUAGCCGAACUGAGAGGUUGAUCGGCCACAUUGGGACUGAGACACGGCCCAAACUCCUACGGGAGGCAGCAGUAGGGAAUCUUCCACAAUGGACGCAAGUCUGAUGGAGCAACGCCGCGUGAGUGAAGAAGGUCUUCGGAUCGUAAAACUCUGUUGUUAGAGAAGAACACGAGUGAGAGUAACUGUUCAUUCGAUGACGGUAUCUAACCAGCAAGUCACGGCUAACUACGUGCCAGCAGCCGCGGUAAUACGUAGGUGGCAAGCGUUGUCCGGAUUUAUUGGGCGUAAAGGGAACGCAGGCGGUCUUUUAAGUCUGAUGUGAAAGCCUUCGGCUUAACCGGAGUAGUGCAUUGGAAACUGGAAGACUUGAGUGCAGAAGAGGAGAGUGGAACUCCAUGUGUAGCGGUGAAAUGCGUAGAUAUAUGGAAGAACACCAGUGGCGAAAGCGGCUCUCUGGUCUGUAACUGACGCUGAGGUUCGAAGCGUGGGUAGCAAACAGGAUUAGAU
rnacentral:rRNA from 2 species